AUACCCUAUUAUUCUUAAAAUAACUCUUCUAAGGUAGUAGUUGUUAUAACCUUGAAACCCAGAGGACUUGGCGGUGCCUGAUCCCCUCAGAGGAACCUGUCUGAUAAGCGAUAGCCCACGUUGGAUCUUACCUGUUUAAGGUUUGUAUACCGUUAUCUGAAUACUUUUGAUAGAAAGUUAUUAAAAUUAAUUUACUUAAUCAAUAUAUUAGACCCAGGUGCAGCUUUGGCAGGGCAAGGUGGGUUACAAUUUGUGAAUAAUUGGAGGGCCGAAAGGAAAAAGGUUGAAAAUUGGAUUUGAAAGUAAUCUGAUUUUAAUAAGAUCAGAUGAGUUGAAUUUUAGGCAUGCACACAUCG
rnacentral:rRNA from 1 species